rnacentral:rRNA from 1 species
CCUACGGGAGGCAGCAGUAGGGAAUAUUGGUCAAUGGAUGCAAGUCUGAACCAGCCAUGCCGCGUGCAGGAAGAAGGCCUUCUGGGUCGUAAACUGCUUUUGCCAGGGGAUAAAAAGCUCAUGCGUGAGUAAUUGAAGGUACCUGGUGAAUAAGCCACGGCUAACUACGUGCCAGCAGCCGCGGUAAUACGUAGGUGGCAAGCGUUGUCCGGAUUUAUUGGGUUUAAAGGGUGCGUAGGUUGCCCCGUAAGUCAGUGCUGAAAUAUCCCGGCUUAACCGGGAGGGUGGCAUUGAUACUGCGGGGCUUGAGUAAAGUUGAGGUAGGCGGAAUUGACGGUGUAGCGGUGAAAUGCUUAGAUAUCGUCAAGAACACCUAUAGCACAGGCAGCUUACUAAGCUUUAACUGACACUGAGGCACGAAAGUGUGGGGAUCAAACAGG